CUAAAAAUCUAGCCCUAACCCACUAAUAACAUAUCAAUAACCUAAAUAUUACUAACUAAAACAUUUUAACAACUCAGUACAGGCGAUUAAAAAGCUAAACGGAGCUACACAAAUAGUACCGUAAGGGAAAGAUGAAAUAAUAAAUGAAAUAAACUAAAGCGAAAAAAAGUAGAGACUAAUUCUUGUACCUUUUGCAUCAUGGUUUAACUAGUCUAAUCAAGCAAAAUGAAUUUUAGUUUGACUUCCCGAAACUAGACGAGCUACUUCGAGGCAGCCUAAUGGGCAAACCCAUCUCUGUUGCAAAAGAGUGGGAAGACCUUCAAGUAGAGGUGACAGACCAAACGAGCCUAGUGAUAGCUGGUUACCUAAUAAAAGGAUAUUAGUCCAACCUAAAGCUUUUUAAAUGACUUAAACAAACCUAUACGCUUUAGAAUCAUUCAAAUAAGGUACAGCCUAUUUGAAAAAGGAUACAACCUACACUAAUGGGUAAUUUAUAAUUCACGCAUAAAAGUGGGCCUAAAAGCAGCCAUCUAAAUAAAAGCGUCAAAGCUUGUAUGCUUCUUUAUUUAAUUUCACAAAUAUUUUAGAACCCUUUAUUUCUAUUCGGUAAUUCUAUAUCUUUAUAGAACUUACUAUGUUAAAACUAGUAACAAGAAGCUCAUCCUUCUCUUAAAUGUAAGCAUAUGUCAGAAAUGGAUAAACCACUGAUUAUUAACAUAUUUGAUAAACCUAAUAGUAACACUUCAAGAAAAACCUAUUGACUUUUAUGUUAACCUAACACUAGAACAUUUCAAGAAAGAUUUAAAGAAAAAGAAGGAACUCGGCAAAUAUCAACCUCGCCUGUUUACCAAAAACAUCGCCUCUUGAAAACAAAUAAGAGGUCCAGCCUGCCCAGUGACUCAGUUCAACGGCCGCGGUAUCCUAACCGUGCAAAGGUAGCGUAAUCACUUGUUCUUUAAAUAAGGACUAGUAUGAAUGGCAUCACGAAGGUUGUACUGUCUCCUUUUUCUAAUCAGUGAAACUAAUCUUCCCGUGAAGAAACGGGAAUAAACAUAUAAGACGAGAAGACCCUAUGGAGCUUAAAACUAACUAACACCUGCUACUAACUAUUUCUUUUAAGAAUAAUAACAUCAAGUAAUCACUAUGAUUAGAAGUUUUCGGUUGGGGUGACCUCGGAGUAAAAAACAACCUCCGAAUAGUACGGGUUCACGAACCCUGAGCAAAAAGACUCGACUUUACGCACCAAAAAAUUGACUUUUAUUGAUCCAAUAUAUUGAUCAACGAACCAAGUUACCCUAGGGAUAACAGCGCAAUCCACUUCAAGAGCCCUUAUCGACAAGUGGGUUUACGACCUCGAUGUUGGAUCAGGGUAUCCUAGUGGUGCAGCCGCUACUACAUGGUUGCGUUUGUUCAGACGAAUUAAAC
rnacentral:rRNA from 1 species